AUUGAACGCUGGCGGCAGGCUUAACACAUGCGAGUCGAGCGGAGAUGAGGUGCUUGCACCUUAUCUUAGCGGCGGACGGGUGAGUAAUGCUUAGGAAUCUGCCUAUUAGUGGGGGACAACAUUCCGAAAGGAAUGCUAAUACCGCAUACGCCCUACGGGGGAAAGCAGGGGAUCUUCGGACCUUGCGCUAAUAGAUGAGCCUAAGUCGGAUUAGCUAGUUGGUGGGGUAAAGGCCUACCAAGGCGACGAUCUGUAGCGGGUCUGAGAGGAUGAUCCGCCACACUGGGACUGAGCCACGGCCCAGACUCCUCCGGGAGGCAGCAGUGGGGGAUAUUGGACAAUGGGCGGAAGCCUGAUCCAGCCAUGCCGCGUGUGUGAAGAAGGCCUUUUGGUUGUAAAGCACUUUAAGCGAGGAGGAGGCUACCUGGAUUAAUACUCUAGGAUAGUGGACGUUACUCGCAGAAUAAGCACCGGCUAACUCUGUGCCAGCAGCCGCCGUAACAC
rnacentral:rRNA from 1 species